rnacentral:misc_RNA from 1 species
GGAAAGAGCAGACGAACGUCAUAUAUAACUUGGAAAUAAAAGUUGUACAACCUCGUGAAAAUCGCAUCUUGCUGUGUAUAACGCUGUUAAUGGAUAUUCCUGUUGCUGAGUUUGUGUAAAUAGGAGGGAAAAGAUAAGAGAAAUGGGAAGUAAGUCAGUGUUGGAUCCAACUAACGACGAGGAAUCUCUAUCAAAUAGUAAAGUGGGUAGCUCUGGUGCUUUUCAGGUAGGAAGACUACACGUUCACUGGAUGGGCACACAUAGGCUGGAGGAUACAAGUGGACACAGUGUAAAUGAUCUUACUUCGACGAAGUAUAACCUAGUAAAAACUGUGGAAACAGAUGAAAAUUUAAAAAAAAAAAUUUACUACAGCUGCGUGCCAACUACUUGGCUUUCCCAGUGCAUGAAGUUUAUGCUGUACCCACCAGUUGGGUCACAUUCUGCAAAUGGGAAAAAUCAAGAACCAAGUCAAUGGAGAAGUAAUGUAUUUAAAAGAUUUCGGUACCCAACCAAUUCUUGGUUCGAGUACGACGUUGUUCAAGUUUUCAACGCAUCAAAGCCAGGGAGUCAUGAUAGUGUCUAUAAGUCUGCGUCUGCAGCCAUGAAAGGCAGUACUUUCGAAAACUUUCGGCAAAACUUUUGAAGAUCUGCUAAAGUCUGACAACGACGUAACAUUUGGAAGGGGAAAUCGGGUAAAAAAGAAAAAAGUGUAUGAUACAGGAGUGGAUGAGCCGGGAAAAAAAAAGGAAAAAAGCAAGUGAAGUAAAAGAAGUGAAAGACGCUCCGGCUGCUGUUAUCGGCAACGGUGAUGAAGGGCAGUCAAUCUUACCUGACGCUGGUGAUGAAAUCAGUUCUGUUGUCGCCUUCUGUUUCCUUUGCUCUCAGAUAACUGGAAUGUUGACAAAGAUAGCAAUGAUGAAGAAACGAUCUUUCCACUUGAACCAACAUCUUGGGUGGAGCAGGGCGAACAGAGCGCAACUCCAGAGUUUCAUGGAACAAUGAUGAAUUUAGACACGCAUCAACUAUGCCCAUCUUUAUCGCCUUCAUUAAAUGGGCCGACAGGCAAUACGUCAACCAAUGGGACA